rnacentral:rRNA from 1 species
AUGGCAACACCAGACUUAAACUUGCUUGUAGAACAGGAUAUACGCUGGGUUAUGCAAGACCUUGUUCACGUUGAUGGGCAUGACAUGGCCGUCAUCGAACCGAAGCCACUGCCCACCGUCACGCUUCGCAUCAGCGGUGUAAUGGCCCCUGGACGGGCCGCUCCCGUGAUGAGUGAUGGUUGCAACAAGCUCGAGAUUAUCACCUCUGAUGAUGGUGAGCUCAGCAGAUCCCGAUUAAGGACCAGUUCAAGAGGGAAGUGGAGUGGCUUGUACAGUUUAGUACACCCACGAUUUCCAUAA